GCCAGGCAUGGUGGCGCACACCUGUAAUCCCAGCAACUCAGGAGGCUGAGGCAGGAGGAUCACAAGUUCAAGGCUAGCCUCAGCAACUUGAUGAGACCCUGUCUCAA
rnacentral:sRNA from 1 species